UUCUUGGUGGCUCGAUUGGUGAGAGCGUUGGACUGGUGAUUCGAAGUUUGCAGGUUCGAGUCCUGCUCGAGGAG